rnacentral:rRNA from 1 species
CAGUCGCCGCGGUAAUACAGAGGGUGCAAGCGUUAAUCGGAAUUACUGGGCGUAAAGCGCGCGUAGGUGGUUUGUUAAGUUGGAUGUGAAAGCCCCGGGCUCAACCUGGGAACUGCAUUUGAAACUGUCAGGCUGGAGUCUUGUAGAGGGGGGUAGAAUUCCAGGUGUAGCGGUGAAAUGCGUAGAGAUCUGGAGGAAUACCGGUGGCGAAGGCGGCCCCCUGGACAAAGACUGACGCUCAGGUGCGAAAGCGUGGGGAGCAAACAGGAUUAGAUACCCCAGUAGUCCCUGUCUCUUAUAC